rnacentral:sRNA from 1 species
AAGUGUAUCCGUGACUCAGCAAUAGAG